CAGACGGAAACGAACUGCUAAUACCGAAUAAGUUCCAAGAGCCGCAUGGCCCAUGGAAGAAAAGGUGGCCUCUACCUGUAAGCUAUCGCCUGAAGAGGGGUUUGGCGUCUGAUUAGCUGGUUGGAGGGGGUAACGGGCCCACCAAGGCGACGAUCAGUAGCCGGUCUGAGAGGAUGAACGGCCACACUGGAACUGAGACACGGUCCAGACUCCUACGGGAGGCAGCAUG
rnacentral:rRNA from 1 species